rnacentral:rRNA from 1 species
GGCUUAGAGUUUGAUCCUGGCUCAGAUUGAACGCUGGCGGCAGGCCUAACACAUGCAAGUCGAGCGGUAGAGAGAAGCUUGCUUCUCUUGAGAGCGGCGGACGGGUGAGUAAUGCCUAGGAAUCUGCCUGGUAGUGGGGGAUAACGUUCGGAAACGAACGCUAAUACCGCAUACGUCCUACGGGAGAAAGCAGGGGACCUUCGGGCCUUGCGCUAUCAGAUGAGCCUAGGUCGGAUUAGCUAGUUGGUGAGGUAAUGGCUCACCAAGGCGACGAUCCGUAACUGGUCUGAGAGGAUGAUCAGUCACACUGGAACUGAGACACGGUCCAGACUCCUACGGGAGGCAGCAGUGGGGAAUAUUGGACAAUGGGCGAAAGCCUGAUCCAGCCAUGCCGCGUGUGUGAAGAAGGUCUUCGGAUUGUAAAGCACUUUAAGUUGGGAGGAAGGGCAGUUACCUAAUACGUGAUUGUUUUGACGUUACCGACAGAAUAAGCACCGGCUAACUCUGUGCCAGCAGCCGCGGUAAUACAGAGGGUGCAAGCGUUAAUCGGAAUUACUGGGCGUAAAGCGCGCGUAGGUGGUUUGUUAAGUUGGAUGUGAAAUCCCCGGGCUCAACCUGGGAACUGCAUUCAAAACUGACUGACUAGAGUAUGGUAGAGGGUGGUGGAAUUUCCUGUGUAGCGGUGAAAUGCGUAGAUAUAGGAAGGAACACCAGUGGCGAAGGCGACCCCCUGGACUAAUACUGACACUGAGGUGCGAAAGCGUGGGGAGCAAACAGGAUUAGAUACCCUGGUAGUCCACGCCG